UCUAGAGUNUCGGAGAGGAAAGUGGAAUUCNUAGUGUAGCGGUGAAAUGCGUAGAUAUUAGGAAGANCACCAGUGGCGAAGGCGACUUUCUGGACGAAAACUGACGCUGAGGCGCGAAAGCCAGGGGAGCGAACGGGAUUAGAUACCCCGGUAGUCCUGGCCGUAAACGAUGGGUACUAGGUGUAGGAGGUAUCGACCCNUUCUGUGCCGGAGUUAACGCAAUAAGUACCCCGCCUGGGGAGUACGACCGCAAGGUUGAAACUCAAAGGAAUUGACGGGGGCCCGCACAAGCGGUGGAGUAUGUGGUUUAAUUCGACGCAACGCGAAGAACCUUACCAGGUCUUGACAUUGAUGGACAGAACCAGAGAUGGUUCCUCUUCUUCGGAAGGCAGAAAACAGGUGGUGCACGGUUGUCGUCAGCUCGUGUCGUGAGAUGUUGGGUUAAGUCCCGUAACGAGCGCAACCCCUAUCUUAUGUUGCCAGCACUUUGGGUGGGGACUCAUGAGAGACUGCCGCAGACAAUGCGGAGGAAGGCGGGGAUGACGUCAAAUCAUCAUGCCCCUUAUGACCUGGGCUACACACGUACUACAAUGGGAGUUAAUAGACGGAAGCGAGAUCGCGAGAUGGAGCAAACCCGAGAAACACUCUCUCAGUUCGGAUCGUAGGCUGCAACUCGCCUACGUGAAGUCGGAAUCGCUAGUAAUCGCAGGUCAGCAUACUGCGGUGAAUACGUUCCCGGGCCUUGUACACACCGCCCGUCACACCACGAAAGUCGGAAGUGCCCAAAGCCGGUGGGGUAACCUUCGGGAGCCAGCCG
rnacentral:rRNA from 1 species